AGCUAUACAUGCAGUCGAGCGGUAGAGUCCUUCGGGACUUGAGAGCGGCGCACGGGUGAGUAACGCGUACAUGACCUGCCUUUAAGACCGGGAUAGCCCUGGGAAACUGGGAUUAAUACCGGAUGUGAUAAUAUGUAUAGAGAUAUAUUAUUAGAGUUGAGGCGCUUAGAGAUGGGUGUGCGUUUGAUUAGCUAGUUGGUAGGGUAACGGCCUACCAAGGCGACGAUCAAUAGGGGGCGUGAGAGCGUGACCCCCCACACGGGUACUGAGACACGGACCCGACUCCUACGGGAGGCAGCAGUAAGGAAUAUCGGUCAAUGGACGGAAGUCUGAACCAGCCAUCCCGCGUGCAGGAUGAAGGUCCUAUGGAUUGUAAACUGCUUUUAGCAGAGACGAAACGCCGACAUUUAUGUUGGUCUGACGGUAUCUGCGGAAUAAGCACCGGCUAACUCCGUGCCAGCAGCCGCGGUAAUACGGAGGGUGCAAGCGUUAUCCGGAAUCACUGGGUUUAAAGGGUGCGUAGGCGGAUGAUUAAGUCAGUGGUGAAAGCUGGUCGCUUAACGAUCAAACUGCCAUUGAUACUGAUUGUCUUGAAUUGGGUUGAGGUUAGCGGAAUGUGACAUGUAGCGGUGAAAUGCAUAGAUAUGUCAUGGAACACCAAUUGCGAAGGCAGCUAACUGGGCCUUGAUUGACGCUGAGGCACGAAAGCGUGGGUAGCGAACAGGAUUAGAUACCCUGGUAGUCCACGCCCUAAACGAUGCUAACUCGAUGUUUGGACAGUAAGUUUGAGCAUCCAAGGG
rnacentral:rRNA from 1 species